UUAUUCCUACUAAACUAGCUACCAAUCUCUCCAUUAGCCUAGCAGAUACGGCAACCAGAAAACAGGGCUUUGUUGUCGUGGAAACAAACUUUCGGUUGUACGCAUAUUCAACAUCUAAAUUGCAUGUUGAGAUCUUGCGCUUGUUUGCAAGGGUCGAAUACCAGCUACCUAACCUUAUUGUUGGCGCU